UGGGCGAUGUGUGAUCAAUUC
ensembl:piRNA 21ur-1718 ncRNA